rnacentral:rRNA from 1 species
CGUAAAGAGCGUUGAGGCGGUUCCGUAAGUUGGGCGUGAAAGCUCCGGGCUUAACUCGGAGAUGUCGUUCAAUACUGCGGGGCUUGAGGACAGCAGAGGAAGGUGGAAUUCCCGGUUGUAGUGGUGAAAUGCGUAGAUAUCGGGGAGGAACACCCGUGGCGAAGGCGGCCUUCUGGGCUGUUCCCGACGCCUGAAGGCGAAAGCUAGGGGAGCGAACGGGAUUAGAUACCCCGGUAGUCCUAGCUGUAACCGAUGGAUGCUGGAUCUGGGGGGUGUUAAAUUCCCUCUGUGCCGAAGCAAACCGCGUUAAGCAUCCCGCCUGGGGACUACGGCCGCAAGGCUAAUACUCAAACGAAUUGACGGGGGCCCGCACAAGCAGCGGAGCGUGUGGUUUAAUUCGAUGCUACACGAAGAACCUUACCUGGGUUUGACAUGCACGUGGUAGGGAACCGAAAGGGGACCGACCUUCGGGAGCGUGCACAGGUGCCGCAUGGCUGUCGUCAGCUCGUGCCGUGAGGUGUCGGGUUAAGUCCCGUAACGAGCGCAACCCUUGCCCUUAGUUACAAGUGUCUAAGGGGACUGCCCGGGACAACUGGGAGGCAGCUGGGGAUGACGUCAAGUCAGCAUGGCCUUUAUAUCCAGGGCUACACACACGCUACAAUGGCCGGUACAAUAGGUUGCGAAGUCGUGAGGCGGAGCCAAUCCU